GGGAAUUAAGAUUAACAAAUGACGGACAAAGAUAUUUCGUUAAAUCCUUGGACACUGCAGGAGCGAUCAAUAUCUGGAAAGAGGAGCGUAGUACAAUGGACAUCAUGGUGGAAGGGCCGCAGUCGAGUCAAGUGGCGGGGAUGUUGCACGAGAGAGAAAUACCGUUUGCUAUAGCUAUUGGAGACCUUAGUGCUAUGAUCGAGAAGGAACAAGACGUCAAUAAAAAGGCUAGACGUAACGCUGACAGUGG
rnacentral:misc_RNA from 1 species